CAAACAAGAUCAAGCGCCGAAGCAUGGCUUAAACAAAUGCAGACACUACGUAGUGCUCAAGGAGGGAUUAGUCACUUUCGUCCCAAACUAAUAUCCUACACAUCCCCAAGCCUACCUUACAAGCCCGAUAACAAAAAUUAUAUGAUCUUAUUUCAAGCGUUCUCAUAUUGGUGAAUGCUUACAUGAAGGCCAAGCUUAUUGUAUCUCAAUUGGGUGUAUUGAACAUCUUUCUGAGUGUGAUGGUGCUUCCCAAAAUGUCCUACAAUAUAAAUAUUUCAAAUGUGUCCAAAUUAGGACCUUCUCUUUUGGUGAGGGUACUUGGAACAUCAAAACCAUUGACUGAAGCAAGAUGAACAAAUCUUGUCGAUGCUUAGGUAUACAUAAGAUACCGCUUGAAUCUAUAAGAUUACCCACAAGCCAAUCUCGGUUAA
rnacentral:lncRNA from 1 species